rnacentral:rRNA from 1 species
AGGGAAUCUUCCACAAUGGACGAAAGUCUGAUGGAGCAACGCCGCGUGAGUGAUGAAGGUUUUCGGAUCGUAAAACUCUGUUGUAAGGGAAGAACCAGUACGUCAGGCAAUGGACGUACCUUGACGGUACCUUAUUAGAAAGCCACGGCUAACUACGUGCCAGCAGCCGCGGUAAUACGUAGGUGGCAAGCGUUGUCCGGAAUUAUUGGGCGUAAAGCGCGCGCAGGUGGUUUCUUAAGUCUGAUGUGAAAGCCCACGGCUUAACCGUGGAGGGUCAUUGGAAACUGGGAGACUUGAGUGCAGAAGAGGAAAGUGGAAUUCCAAGUGUAGCGGUGAAAUGCGUAGAGAUUUGGAGGAACACCAGUGGCGAAGGCGACUUUCUGGUCUGCAACUGACGCUGAGGCGCGAAAGCAUGGGGAGCAAACAGGA